AGGAUCCAUGGAGAAAGGAAGCUGAAAUCUUAUGAAGCAUCUGCCUCUUCAGUCCUCUUAACUCUGAGUGUGCAGGUUCUUAACACUCCUCCUCCCUGCUGGAGGAAUUGAGACAGAAUGCAGUGGAAGUUAAUUCUAUUUCUAAUAAGCUUUCCUCAAUUGCAAUCUCUCAACUUGCAUCCAGAGACCCAGUUCAGAUCUCCAGACUCUUUGUUGUGACUCCAAUGAAUAAAGUGGAACUGUUUUAAUGUUAUGAAACACUUAAUAAAAGGUUUCAAAGACAACUGCUGUUGUCGAUUCAUCUUGUAUCAUACACAAGAUGUUUUCAACAAUAAACAUCACUGCAGCAGUAUUUAAUGAAGAUAUGCAGUUCUGCCAAACUUCUCGGUACCACCUACUGUGGAAAGUCUUUUGUUUUAGUUCCUAUGUUGCAAUUCACCAUGGUGUUAAAACAAUAUAGAGUUCACUGACUCAGCGUAAGAAAUAUUUGAAGAACACUACGCAAUCUCAGUUAAAAAAAAAAGACUGGGAAAAAUGCAUAAUAGAAACUCAAGAUACUGAACUAAAAGAACUGAUAAAAAUAUGGUAAGCAGAUUCACUAAAAUUACUUUUCCCUGGAGUCAUUGCAGCUCCUAUUUU